GUGCUGACGGGGCUACGCAGCGGGCUUCGAACGCCCAAUUUUCUCUCCGGCUGCCUGGGCGCCACAAGGACCCCAGCAGGUCUCGCCACGUCUUCCAGCGCUAGUACCACCGUGACGUCAUGUUGGCCUGCCCUCUGGGAUCAGCAGGAGCAGCAGGCGGUAACCCCCGCAUGCCACCGUGUUUCUGGCUCCGGCACCAAAGUCUCUGCCCCUGCCGAGUGAUGGCAUGCCACGCAAGGGUGACAAAAGGGUUGUUUUGUGCUGUCGCGGUGCCAGGACCUGUGGCCACGCUGCCCUUCGGCGAGACUGCGGAGGCUGCUCGACGCCUAAGAAUCGCACACAGCAGCACAACUGGCGUCUUUGAGCAGUGUCCCGACCUGCCGGCGUGCAGCCCUUCGGCGAAGCUGCGGUGGCUGCUCGAUGCCGGAGAAUCGCACGCAGCAGCACCGCCACGAGCAGCGCGCACUUCGCCACGUGCAUCGCAUGCUGCAGCUGCUGCACCUCCAGCGACACAGUGUUG
rnacentral:lncRNA from 1 species